rnacentral:rRNA from 1 species
UACGUAGGGUGCAAGCGUUUGUCCGGAAUUAUUGGGCGUAAAGAGCUCGUAGGCGGUCUGUCGCGUCGGCUGUGAAAUCCCGAGGCUCAACCUCGGGUCUGCAGUCGAUACGGGCAAACUGGAGUGAUGUAGGGGAGACUGGAAUUCCUGGUGUAGCGGUGAAAUGCGCAGAUAUCAGGAGGAACACCGAUGGCGAAGGCAGGUCUCUGGGCAUUAACUGACGCUGAGGAGCGAAAGCAUGGGGAGCGAACAGG